rnacentral:miRNA from 1 species
GGCAGGAGAGACAGCAAGGAUGGUAUAAAAAAUGGAUACAUUUAUUGCAAAUAAAAAUUACAAAAACAACAUACAUUAUAUUGCUUUUGCACUUUUUUAUACAACUUGUUUAGUUGUUUUUAUAAUUUUUAUUUGCAAUAAAUGUAUCCAUUUUUUAUACCAUCCUUGCUGUCUCUCCUGCC